rnacentral:rRNA from 1 species
UUGAUCAUGGCUCAGAUUGAACGCUGGCGGCAGGCCUAACACAUGCAAGUCGAGCGGUAACAGGGGAUGCUUGCUUCCCGCUGACGAGCGGCGGACGGGUGAGUAAUGUAUGGGGAUCUGCCCGAUAGAGGGGGAUAACCACUGGAAACGGUGGCUAAUACCGCAUAAUCUCUUAGGAGCAAAGCAGGGGAACUUCGGUCCUUGCGCUAUCGGAUGAACCCAUAUGGGAUUAGCUAGUAGGUGGGGUAAUGGCUCACCUAGGCGACGAUCCCUAGCUGGUCUGAGAGGACGAUCAGCCACACUGGGACUGAGACACGGCCCAGACUCCUACGGGAGGCAGCAGUGGGGAAUAUUGCACAAUGGGCGCAAGCCUGAUGCAGCCAUGCCGCGUGUAUGAAGAAGGCCUUAGGGUUGUAAAGUACUUUCAGUCGGGAGGAAGGCGUUGAUGCUAAUAUCAUCAACGAUUGACGUUACCGACAGAAGAAGCACCGGCUAACUCCGUGCCAGCAGCCGCGGUAACACGGAGGGUGCAAGCGUUAAUCGGAAUUACUGGGCGUAAAGCGCACGCAGGCGGUUGAUUAAGUUAGAUGUGAAAUCCCCGGGCUUAACCUGGGAAUGGCAUCUAAGACUGGUCAGCUAGAGUCUUGUAGAGGGGGGUAGAAUUCCAUGUGUAGCGGUGAAAUGCGUAGAGAUGUGGAGGAAUACCGGUGGCGAAGGCGGCCCCCUGGACAAAGACUGACGCUCAGGUGCGAAAGCGUGGGGAGCAAACAGGAUUAGAUAC